CGGGGGAAGUCGGAUCCUUGGCUGUGUCCCCAGCGCCGUGUGCUCCCAGGCCUGCGCUGUUGGAUCUGCCCCAUCCCCUCCGAGCUGCUCCCG
rnacentral:pre_miRNA from 1 species